rnacentral:lncRNA from 1 species
UCCUUUCUCUCUCUCUCGGAUCACUUAUGCUAAAAUACACAAGCUGCCAUGUCACAAACAGCCCUGUGAAGAGGCCUACAUGAUACAGCAAAGAACUGAGGCCCUCAGUCCAGCAGCCAGUGAGGAAUUAACACCCUCAAUCCAACAACCUGUGAGGGAAUCAAGCCUGCUAAUGAUCAGAUAAGUGAACAUGCAAGUCCGUCCUUCAGUGCCAAUUGAGUCUUUUCUUUUUCUUGGGAUAGAAUCUUAUUCUGUCACAAAGCGGUAUGAUCUAGGCUCACUGCAACCUCUGCCUCCUGGGUUCAAGUGAUUCUCCUGCCUCAGCCUCCCGAAUAGCUGGGAUUAUGGGCACGUGCCACCACACCCAGCUAAUUUUUGUAUUUUUAGUAGAGACAGGGUUUUUCCAUGUUGAUCAGGCUGGUCUCGAACUCCUGACCUCAGGUGAUCCACCCACCUCAGCCUCCCACAGUGCUGGGAUUACAGGUGUGCACCACUACGCUUGAACUGAUUUUUGUAUUUUUAGUAGAGAUGAGGCUUCAUCAUGUUGGCCAGGCUGGUCUUGAACUCCCGGCCUCAAGUGAUCCACCCACCUCAGCCUCCCAAAGUACUAGGAUUACAGGUGUGAGCCACUGCACCCAGCCCCUACUUGAGUCUUAAGAUGAGACUGAAGGCCUGUCUGACAGUUUUACUGCAAUCUCAAAAGAGACCUUGAGCCAGCAAGAUCCAGCAAAGCCACUCUGGAUCCCUGAGCCACUGAAACUGUGAGGCAAAGAAACUGAGGCCCAGAGAGGCUCGAUGACAUGUUCAAAGUCACAUAUCCAGAAGAGGACGGAGUCAAAGUCUUUCUGGAAGUUUCCAAAAGGAAGAAUAGGAUCCUGGUUUGGAAUUUCUCUGAAAUUGGACUUCUAAUUUUCUGUAGGAAUGAACGUUCCCAAAUUGGAGCUGUCCAGCAAUAAGGUGGAUUGCCUUUGAAGAAGCUGAGUUCCUUGCCAUAGGAAGUAUUCAAGCAGAAAGGUACAAAGACUCAACGACAGAGUGCCAGAGAGGAUGUCUUAUGGAGAUGGUUGACAUAAACCUCUCUAACUGCAUGGGCUAGAAGGGAUCCAGGAAGCCCCCUAGAAACUUUCUCAGAGGUUUCCUCUCUCAGCUUGGAGCCCCCUCCCUCUGUCUCUACAGCUUACGACAGGUUUAUUGGGACAAUGCCAUCAUAAAUCAAGAAGCAUCUGUAAGUCCACUGAAAUAAAACGCAAACCAGCAACUCAGAGAGGUUCAUUGACUUGCCGAAGGCCACAAAGCUGUUAAGUGUUCAAACAGAUGGCGUCAAACCAGAUCUUUAGCCUCAGGGACCAGAGCUCUGCAGCCUGGAGGGGACCUUCUGCAGCAUCAUUGCACAGAAGACAUCAAUCAAUCAGUCUUUCAGUGGCCUUACAUUUUUCUCCACUUGCAGGUUAUGGGUCACCAUUUUACAAAUUCCUCCAGGACAGAAAGAAACUGUUUCUCCUGCCUGUUCUUUCCCAGCCCAGGCUGUCACCGGGGAUCCAAAUGUCAGGCUUUAUGCAAGUUCUCGAUGUUGGAACCUCUCAUGAAAAGUGGAGUGAACAAGAGGGAAAGUGGGCAAACCUCAGGCCUCACAGCUUUAAUGCCACCGAUGCAUUUGGUGAGGGACCUGAUCUCUCUGCUUCCAAGACAGAGUCUUGUUGCUGUCUUCCGGAGGGGAGGAACCCCGUGUCCUCACGUGGCAGAAGAGCAUAAGAGAGCAAACCCACUCCUUCAAACUCGCCUUUUAGAGAUGGGGUCUCACUCUGUCACCCAGGCUAGAGCGAGCAUAGUGGUAUGAUCCUAGCUCAUUGCAGCC